rnacentral:rRNA from 1 species
GACGAAGGGGGCUAGCGUUGUUCGGAAUUACUGGGCGUAAAGCGAGUGUAGGUGGUUGUCGUAGUCAGGCGUGAAAGCCUUGAGCUCAACUCAAGAAAUGCACUCGGUACUGGGUGACUAGAGGACCGGAGAGGAUAGUGGAAUUCCCAGUGUAGUGGUGAAAUGCGCAGAUAUCAGGAGGAACACCAGCGGCGAAGGCGGCGCUCUGGGCCGGAACUGACGCUGAGGAGCGAA